rnacentral:rRNA from 1 species
UUCGCCCCGCAAGGGGAGUGGCAGACGGGUGAGUAACACGUGGGAACGUGCCCAAAGGUUCGGAAUAUUCCCGGGAAACUGGGAGCAAUACCGAAUGUGUCCGCAAGGAGAAAGAUUUAUCGCCUUUGGAUCGGCCCGCGUUGGAUUAGCUAGUUGGUGGGGUAAAAGCCUACCAAGGCGACGAUCCAUAGCUGGUUUGAGAGAACGACCAGCCACACUGGGACUGAGACACGGCCCAGACUCCUACGGGAGGCAGCAGUGGGGAAUCUUGGACAAUGGGCGCAAGCCUGAUCCAGCCAUGCCGCGUGAGUGAUGAAGGCCCUAGGGUUGUAAAACUCUUUCGCCGAGGACGAUAAUGACGGUACUCGGAGAAGAAGCUCCGGCUAACUUCGUGCCAGCAGCCGCGGUAAUACGAAGGGGGCUAGCGUUGUUCGGAUUUACUGGGCGUAAAGCGCGUGUAGGCGGAUUUGUAAGUUGGGGGUGAAAUCCCGAGGCUCAACCUCGGAACUGCCUCCAAAACUACAAGUCUGGAGCAAGAUAGAGGC